rnacentral:rRNA from 1 species
UACGUAGGCAGCGAGCGUUGUUCGGAAUUACUGGGCGUAAAGAGUGUGUAGGCGGUGCUCUAAGUUCGGUGUGAAAUCUCCUGGCUCAACUGGGAGGGUGCGCCGGAAACUGGAGUGCUUGAGCGUGGGAGAGGAAAGCGGAAUUCUUGGUGUAGCGGUGAAAUGCGUAGAUAUCAAGAGGAACACCUGAGGUGAAGACGGGUUGCUGGGCCAACACUGACGCUGAGGCGCGAAAGCCAGGGGAGCGAACAGG